rnacentral:other from 1 species
UUCCCUCUACGGGGUCCGUGCUUCGCGGCUUUCAUGAUCCCCUUAUGUAAUUGAACCAGGGAGGCAAUCGGUCGCUCAGUGUGCACGCCGGGCCGUCUCUUCGGAGCUCCGGAUAACUCGGAAGCCUAAAGCGCGAUCAGCGCCGCCCACCUAGUCCUUAUGGGCUAGGGGUUCAUGCAACCCGCACACGACCCAGGUGGUAAGGAA